rnacentral:rRNA from 1 species
GAUUAGAUACCCUGGUAGUCCACGCCGUAAAACGAUGUCGACUUGGAGGUUGUUCCCUUGAGGAGUGGCUUCCGGAGCUAACGCGUUAAGUCGACCGCCUGGGGAGUACGGCCGCAAGGUUAAAACUCAAAUGAAUUGACGGGGGCCCGCACAAGCGGUGGAGCAUGUGGUUUAAUUCGAUGCAACGCGAAGAACCUUACCUACUCUUGACAUCCACGGAAUUUGGCAGAGAUGCCUUAGUGCCUUCGGGAACCGUGAGACAGGUGCUGCAUGGCUGUCGUCAGCUCGUGUUGUGAAAUGUUGGGUUAAGUCCCGCAACGAGCGCAACCCUUAUCCUUUGUUGCCAGCGAUUCGGUCGGGAACUCAAAGGAGACUGCCGGUGAUAAACCGGAGGAAGGUGGGGAUGACGUCAAGUCAUCAUGGCCCUUACGAGUAGGGCUACACACGUGCUACAAUGGCGCAUACAAAGAGAAGCGACCUCGCGAGAGCAAGCGGACCUCAUAAAGUGCGUCGUAGUCCGGAUCGGAGUCUGCAACUCGACUCCGUGAAGUCGGAAUCGCUAGUAAUCGUGGAUCAGAAUGCCACGGUGAAUACGUUCCCGGGCCUUGUACACACCGCCCGUCACACCAUGGGAGUGGGUUGCAAAAGAAGUAGGUAGCUUAACCUUCGGGAGGGCGCUUACCACUUUGUGAUUCAUGACUGGGGUGAAGUCGUAACAAGG